rnacentral:rRNA from 1 species
AGAGUUUGAUCCUGGCUCAGGACGAACGCUGGCGGCGCGCUUAACACAUGCAAGUCGAGCGAGAACCAGGGCUUCGGCCCUGGGGACAGCGGCGAACGGGUGAGUAACACGUGGAUAACCUGCCCUCGGCACCGGGAUAGCCCGGGGAAACUCGGAUUAAUACCGGAUAGCCCUUCCGGCUCUCGAGCCGGUCGGAAAAGGUAGCUUCGGCCUCUGGCCGAGGAUGGGUCCGCGGCGGAUUAGCUUGUUGGUGGGGUAAUGGCCUACCAAGGCUCCGAUCCGUAGCUGGUCUGAGAGGACGAUCAGCCACACUGGGACUGAGACACGGCCCAGACUCCUACGGGAGGCAGCAGUGGGGAAUAUUGGACAAUGGGCGAAAGCCUGACGCAGCAACGCCGUGUGGGUGACGAAGGCCUUCGGGUUGUAAACCACUGUCGGGAGGGACGAAUGCCCCGCAAGGGGAGUGACGGUACCUCCAAAGGAAGCACCGGCUAACUCCGUGCCAGCAGCCGCGGUAAUACGGAGGGUGCGAGCGUUGUUCGGAAUUACUGGGCGUAAAGCGCGCGCAGGCGGCCCGUUAAGUCUGCAGGUGAAAUGCCGGGGCUCAACCCCGUGCAUGCCUCGGAUACUGGGGGGCUGGAGAGACGUAGAGGCAAGCGGAAUUCCGGGUGUAGCGGUGGAAUGCGCAGAUAUCAGGAGGAACACCGGUGGCGAAGGCGGAUCUCUGGGCCAUUACUGACGCUGAGGAGCGAAAGCGUGGGGAGCGAACAGGAUUAGAUACCCUGGUAGUCCACGCCGUAAACGUUGGGAACUAGGUGUUGGCGACAUUCCACGUCGUCGGUGCCGCAGCUAACGCAUUAAGUUCCCCGCCUGGGGAGUACGGCCGCAAGGCUAAAACUCAAAGGAAUUGACGG